CCUACGGGAGGCAGCAGUGGGGAAUAUUGCACAAUGGGCGAAAGCCUGAUGCAGCGACGCCGCGUGAGUGAAGAAGUAUUUCGGUAUGUAAAGCUCUAUCAGCAGGGAAGAAGAAAGACGGUACCUGACUAAGUAGCCCCGGCUAACUACGUGCCAGCAGCCGCGGUAAUACGUAGGGGGCAAGCGUUAGCCGGAUUUACUGGGUGUAAAGGGAGCGUAGACGGGUGUGCAAGUCUGAAGUGAAAGCCCAGGGCUCAACCCUGGGACUGCUUUGGAAACUGUGGAGCUAGAGUGCUGGAGAGGUAAGUGGAAUUCCUAGUGUAGCGGUGAAAUGCGUAGAUAUUAGGAGGAACACCAGUGGCGAAGGCGGCUUGCUGGACAGUAACUGACGUUGAGGCUCGAAAGCGUGGGGAGCAAACAGGAUUAGAUACCCUGGUAGUC
rnacentral:rRNA from 1 species